CAACAGGGAUUGCCCUAGUAACGGCGAGUGAAGCGGCAACAGCUCAAAUUUGAAAUCUGGCUCUCGGGCCCGAGUUGUAAUUUGUAGAGGAUACUUUUGAUGCGGUGCCUUCCGAGUUCCCUGGAACGGGACGCCAUAGAGGGUGAGAGCCCCGUCUGGUUGGAUGCCAAAUCUCUGUAAAGUUCCUUCGACGAGUCGAGUAGUUUGGGAAUGCUGCUCUAAAUGGGAGGUAUAUGUCUUCUAAAGCUAAAUACCGGCCAGAGACCGAUAGCGCACAAGUAGAGUGAUCGAAAGAUGAAAAGCACUUUGAAAAGAGAGUUAAAAAGUACGUGAAAUUGUUGAAAGGGAAGCGUUUAUGACCAGACUUGGGCUUGGUUAAUCAUCUGGGGUUCUCCCCAGUGCACUUUUCCAGUCCAGGCCAGCAUCAGUUUUCGCCGGGGGAUAAAGGCUUCGGGAAUGUGGCUCUCUUCGGGGAGUGUUAUAGCCCG
rnacentral:rRNA from 1 species